rnacentral:misc_RNA from 1 species
ACAAACUUGGUCAUUUAGAGGAAGUAAAAGUCGUAACAAGGUUUCCGUAGGUGAACCUGCGGAAGGAUCAUUAAUAGAGUAAUGCCCCCCUUAAAAGGGGUAGACCUCCAACCCCAUGUUUAUUUUACCUUCUGUUGCUUUGGCGGUUCGUAAAAGCCUUUUUUUAUUUUUUAAAAGGGCUUUUCCACCGGCUUUGGCUGGUGAGUUACCCGUCAAAGGAUAAUGAAAACUCUGAAAUUUAAAACGUAACUUGUCUGAAUUUAAAAAGAAAAUUAAUUAAAACUUUCAACAACGGAUCUCUUGGUUCUGGCAUCGAUGAAGAACGCAGC